AUGCAGAAACGGAAAGUGCAAUGAAGAGGAAAAAUGGAGACAAACAGAGAGAGAAUGCAUAAAAGAGAGAGAAUAUGGGAGGGCCCCAAAGAAGAGGGGGAAAAAGUGUGGAGUUACAUUAGGUCAAAAGCAAAGAAAGCACAUCGUUACUAAGAGAUCCAUUCUCUUUGUUGCUAGAUGCACAAACAUGUUUUAGACAAUUCAGACCCGAUUCACGCACGAUAAAGUAAAUAUUUGAUGUACAACAGGCUGUACACACUCUUAAACCUGGUGCACGUAUUCUAAACAUUGAAUUCCUGCAACGGUUAGCACCAAAGAAAGCAACGGYGACACACUUCCAUGCACUUCUAUACACACAGAAUCACAAUGCAGCACUAUGACCUCAGCCUGCUUCGGUAACCACAGUGGAAACUCAAACGACAUAAUUGAAAGGAUGGCAGUUGGAGGAACCCUCUUGAUUACUCAGUGCUCCCAGCUCCUUCCAAGCUGCUCUGCAACACAUCUACUGCACAAGCUUGGCAUUUUGCUCUCGUCAUGUGCCUCAAACCGGGCAGGGACAGCUCAUCAACAGCGCCAUAAAUCGGUUCACAGUGAAUGCGAACGAGGCCUGGAUGUCUGCAGCAGCCAGUGGAAUCGCGCCUCGCCAACAGAGAGCUAGUUGACUCACUCUGGUCCCAUCCACUCGUGACUUAUUUUUAAUCACAUGCACAUUGACAAYGUUGAAUGAUUAACACAAGGGAUAACAGCAGAGUAAAGUGAAAGCCUGAGACAAAUUAUUUACUCCGUUUCCACAGCACCACUGAUGCGUUUCCAAGGAUCCUAAUAAGAAGAGAAUUCCUGACACGGAGCAAACGUGGCCCAGAGUUUGAUGUCUGGUUCUGGUGUACAUAUCACACACUGGCUUUCUUUUCUGACAUGUUGUCAGAAUACCACCGUUAGAAUAAACCGCAGGAUAUCAAGGACAUUAUUAAGUACAACCGCUACUAAUCAGCUACUCAGAUUCACUCAACUAUGCGAUCCAGCUCCAAACUGUUCCACCGUUAAAUGGCUGCAGAUAGCACACAAUUAGGAUUAUUGCUUUGUCGCUCUGAUAGCAGCCAGUAAAAACAUUAACUCUCAAACUUAAUUUACUGUUACCUCRUGUGAACUUGUUUUUCAACGACUAAUCAAAAGACAGAAAACUCAUUAGAGGUGGACAGAUUUGGGUUCUGAAGUGGCUGAUUUCAGUGCCAAUCUUUAGAAAUAAGGACGGUCUAUCGUCUAUAAAGCUUGUUUUUGGAUUAGAUGUUUUUUCUCUCUUUUAAAAACAACAGUUUAAUAUUAAUACAGCAUGUAGGAUUUUGACAAAAAGAUGUGAUUGAAUGUAAAUUGGGGUCUCGUCAAGUUUUCUCCUUCAGAACUUUCUGGCAAACAGACGUACCAACAGAUCGGAGGAGAACUGGGACGUGUCCUGGAUCGACUUGACAGACUCAGAGGAAGAAGGCAGUUGGUUGUGGGUGGAUAGAUCACCAGUGAACACAAGCUCUCGUUUUGAGUGUUCAGGGCCGUUAAUGUAAGCUCGAUGGCAAAGGUGGGAUCAUUCCAGCAGAAAUGGACCAAGMUGGAUGAAGAUUAUUUGAAAUUUUGGUUUGAUACAUAAUCUGAUGAAACUAGCAAAAAGUUUGUGAGAAAUCAUCACAUUCUUUCCUUCUGUUUCUACAGUUUAUUAAGGACUUGUUUCUAUGUAGAAAGAUAUAACUCUAAAAGUAAACUUUAUAUUAUUAAAAAUUAAAUGUUUAAGGCGUUGAAAGAUAAUAAAUACUUACAAUUCA